rnacentral:rRNA from 1 species
AACGAACGCUGGCGGCAGGCUUAACACAUGCAAGUCGAGCGCCCCGCAAGGGGCGCGGCAGACGGGUGAGUACCGCGUGGGAACGUACCUUUUGGUUCGGAACAACUCCGGGAAACUGGAGCUAAUACCGGAUAAGCCCUAACGGGGAAAGAUUUAUCGCCGAAAGAUCGGCCCGCGUCUGAUUAGCUAGUUGGUGAGGUAACGGCUCACCAAGGCGACGAUCAGUAGCUGGUCUGAGAGGAUGAUCAGCCACACUGGGACUGAGACACGGCCCAGACUCCUACGGGAGGCAGCAGUGGGGAAUAUUGGACAAUGGGCGCAAGCCUGAUCCAGCCAUGCCGCGUGAGUGAUGAAGGCCUUAGGGUUGUAAAGCUCUUUUGUCCGGGAAGAUAAUGACUGUACCGGAAGAAUAAGCCCCGGCUAACUUCGUG